AACGUGGGGAACCUGCCCCAUAGUCUGGGAUACCACUUGGAAACAGGUGCUAAUACCGGAUAAGAAAGCGGAUCGCAUGAUCAGCGUUUAAAAGGCGGCGUAAGCUGUCGCUAUGGGAUGGCCCCGCGGUGCAUUAGCUAGUUGGUAAGGUAAAGGCUUACCAAGGCGAUGAUGCAUAGCCGAGUUGAGAGACUGAUCGGCCACAUUGGGACUGAGACACGGCCCAAACUCCUACGGGAGGCAGCAGCU
rnacentral:rRNA from 1 species